CCUCUCCUCUCUGACCCGGGAACUUGUCUUUGUUAUUCUCUUUUUUCCAUUUCAUUCGCCGGUUCUGAAACCAAAUUUUUACCUGUCGCUCCGUCAGGCCAAGCGCGUGGGACACCUCGAUCCGUCGUUUGCGUGUAAGGCUAAUUGUAUGGCUGCACACAGAACAAAUGCCACCAAAGUAACUACAUCACGGUCUGAUCCACUGAACAUUUAUACAUGACACCAAUAUUCUGGUAAGAGGGAAGAACAUAUACUGCGACAAGUGAAAUGCAUAUCACAACAAAGUCAAGUCACAAGCGUCAUUUAAAAAAAUAUAUUGGGGGCUGGGGGUAGAUGACAUAAUUCCGAGUUAGAAUUCACUAUCGUACCAUGCAACAACUAUUAAAAACAAGCAAAACGUCGAUUUAAAAAAGCUUCCGCGAAGGGACGCUCCUCGUCGAUGCACCUCAACACUGUCCUCCCUCUCCCCUCUCCCUCGUUCUUUUUCUUUCUCUCUCCCUCCUUCUCUCACACACGCGCACAAACACACACAAAACACAAAUGAACAGGAGAACACAAGAACACAAAAAGAAUUCUAACCGUGAGGUCUCAUCCACGGAAACAUGAGACUGGGAGACGAGUUUUGAUUUAAGUGGCCUUGUCCUUCUCCGAGGUUAGUGCCAGUGGACGAUUUACAGUCUGGGUACUGCGCUAAACUCCCCUCUUGCUGGGUACCAUAAAGAGAUUGCCUCGGAAGGGCUUCGUAUCCAUAAAAUUUCGUGGCGUCUCCAUGGCAAGCCAAGGCGCAGGGGUUUUGCUGGUAUCCGGGAUUGGAGAUUCCAGAUGUCCCGUGGUGGAAAAAGUCCUGAACGUGGUGGGACGGAUGUUGAAAUCCCGGUGCUGCCGCUCCGGGUCCAUACACCAGCGCGUGGCUACGGGUAACGCUCUGAGGAAACCUGCAGUCGUAGUAAGUUGGUUCCAACGUUUCGCCGCCUUUGUACUUGGAAAAUAGGGGAUUAACAAAAUAGGAACUCAUGUUUUGUUUGCAUUAAAACACAGUGUAGUUGUUGAUAUGUGUUUCCUGUUGUAAAUUGUGCUGUUGUCUAAGUUCUCCACCAAAUAUUACACCACCGACACACCAACCGGAACCACAGGGAGAAAA